GGAUUGAAAACAAGUCAGAAGAACACAAAUUUUUUUGUUUCUUAAAAAACAUCGGCGAUUGUCUGGGACAGUUCCCCAUGUCUGCGUUGAUAACACUG